UACGGAGGGGGCGAGCGUUAUUCGGAAUUAUUGGGCGUAAAGGGCGCGUAGGCGGCUGAACAAGUCAAAGGUGAAAUCCCUCGGCUCAACUGAGGAACUGCCUUUGAAACUGUUCGGCUUGAGGCCGGGAGGGGGUAGCGGAAUUCCCAGUGUAGCGGUGAAAUGCGUAGAUAUUGGGAGGAACACCAGUGGCGAAGGCGGCUACCUGGACCGGUUCUGACGCUGAGGAGCGAAAGCGUGGGUAGCAAACAGG
rnacentral:rRNA from 1 species